rnacentral:rRNA from 1 species
UAGGGAAUCUUCGGCAAUGGGGGGAACCCUGACCGAGCAACGCCGCGUGAGUGAAGAAGGUUUUCGGAUCGUAAAGCUCUGUUGUUAAGGAAGAACGAGUGUGAGAAUGGAAAGUUCAUGCUGUGACGUUACUUAACCAGAAAGGGACGGCUAACUACGUGCCAGCAGCCGCGGUAAUACGUAGGUCCCGAGCGUUGUCCGGAUGUAUUGGGCGUAAAGCGAGCGCAGGCGGUUAGAAAAGUCUGAAGUGAAAGGCAGUGGCUCAACCAUUGUAUGAUUUGGAAACUGUUUAACUUGAGUGCAGAAGGGGAGAGUGGAAUUCCAUGUGUAGCGGUGAAAUGCGUAGAUAUAUGGAGGAACACCAGUGGCGAAGGCGACUCUCUGGUCUGUAACUGACGCUGAGGCUCGAAAGCGUGGGUAGCAAACAGG